GCCUACUUGGAUAGCAUGAGAACUCCAUCUUUUGGGCAUCAUUUUCGUGGUAAUGACAGAGGUUGUACUGGUACAUUUAUUGAUCUCCUCGUCUAGUGAUUCAGAUGCUUGGGGCCUUUGUGUUCUUUGUGCAAGGAGUUCUGUGAACUUAUGAUUCGUAUGAUAACUUGAGACUGCUCAACUCUACAGACGUACAGUACAGAGAGCUUCACUGGCCUUGCACGCUGCUGAGAGUGAAUGGGAAUUCAACUCAAGACAUGCUGGUUAAAUGAAAGCGUAUAAUGGACAAGGUGGAUGACAAUUUCAAUUGCCUGGAAGGUAAAAGCUGGAAUGUUUGGA